rnacentral:sRNA from 1 species
ACCUCGAAAUUCACGCUGGAACGAGUUUUUCCAGAGCUUAUCCUCGUUGAUUUUAAUUAACAACUUCCAUGUAAAAAAUUCUAAACAUUAUCUGCUUGAAACCCGCAGGCGGCGCGGAUUGCGCGGCGUAUCGACCUUUGGUGAGGCAAAAUAAUUGACGAAUGGUGGCUGCUGUUGGCUAU